GGUCAGGUGGCUGAGUGGUUGAAAGCGCCGGAUUCGAAAUCCGGUAUAGGGGCAACUCUAUCGCGGGUUCGAAUCCCGCCCUGACUGC
rnacentral:tRNA from 1 species